UGGCAUCGUGGGAAGAACAGGAGCUGGAAAAAGUUCCCUCAUUGCUGCCCUUUUUCGAUUGUCAGAACCUGAAGGUGGCAUUUAUAUUGAUGGAAUCUUGACAACACAUAUUGGACUGCAUGAUUUAAGGAAGAAAUUGUCAGUUGCACUUCAGGUACAACUCAAAGAAUCCAUCGAAGGUCUUCCUGCUAAAAUGAAUACUGAAUUAGCAGAAUCUGGAUUGAACUUGAGUGCUGGUCAGAAACAACUGCUGUGCCUUGCCAGGGCUCUUCUCAGGAAGAAUCAGAUAUUGAUUCUUGACAAAGCCACAUCAUACGUGGAUCCAAGAACUGAUGAGUUAAUACAAAAAAGAAUUCGUGAGAGAUUUGCCCAGUGCACUGUGCUGACCAUUGCACACAGGUUGAGAAACAUUAUUGACUGUGAAUGGAUAAUGGUUUUGGAUUCAGGGACACGAAAAGAACAUAAUCAGCCAAAUAAUUUGCUGCAAGAUGAAAACAGCCUAUUUUACAAGAUAGUGCAAAAACUGGGUGAGGCGGAGGCUGCUGUCCUCAGUAAAAUGGCAAAAUAGGCAUACUUCAAAAGGAAAGAGCCAGAUAUCACUCACAGUGACCAUGUGGUUAUGAAUGUUUCCAGUGGACAGCCCUCAGCCUUCACAAUUUUUGAGUCAACACUGUGAUUCUCCCAUGAGUUUAUGUCUAUUCCAAAGGCUUUUUUCCAAUAGGUUUUGCACUGCAUAAACUAUAUUCUACUUUUUUUUUUACACCAGCAACAAAUAUUUACACAUUACAAAAUGUGAGUUCUCCAACCUUAAUGAUUUCAAUCUCUUGAAAAAGGAUUUAUGAUGUUUAUUUAAAUGUUAUAUUACUUGCUUUCUUAUCCAAAUCAGAGGUGCAGGCCACCAAUAAAAGCUGUCUCCCAGCUUUUGUGUCUUGAGAGACUCCAGAGCCAAACUCAUUUUCUAAGAUUUGAGACAAAGUUGUCACAGAUGUUUUUUACUGUUCCCAGAAUUACAUAUUACUUUCCAAUUAUAUCAGGGAUUCUGUUUAUUUGAAGACUGUGUGAAGUUACUGUUUUGUGUCCACUUCCUUUAACAUGACUAGGAUCCAUUUUUCCACCAAAAGACCUCUGGUUAAAAUACUAUAGAGAAAACUGAUAGGAUAAACAUACAAUAUACUAUAGUUUAAGUAACCAAAAAAAAAAAAAAAAAGGUAUAUGGUUAAAUACAGAAGGACAAUAUCAUAUGUUCUGAAAGAGAAGGAAGAGAAAAUAUGCUUUCUUAAAAUAGGAGCCCUUCUAGGGGAUUUGCUAAUGAAGGACAGACGUGUGCUAUACUGUCUUCUAGAUAGAGGAUUUUAUUUUAUUUUUUUUACAUUACAAAUUGUGGUAAAGUAUAUAUAACAUAAGGCUUCCCUGGUGGCACAGAGGUUAAAUAAAUUUUGCCAUAUAACCAUUUUCAGUCCCAUGAUCCAGUGGCAUUAAUCACAUUCACAGUAUUGUGAAGCCACACUGUCUGGGGAACUUUUGGUAAUUAUGUGCUUCCUCUUCAGUGUGUUAUUUCUGCAGAGUCAUUUUGAUAAGUUUCAUUUUUCUAGGAGGAAUCUGUUUCCUGUGAGUUUUGAGCUUGACUGGCAUAAAUUUAUUCACAAUGUCGUAUAUGUUUAAUCUCUGCAGCAUCUCUAACUGUGUUCUUUUGGCUUUUUAAUUUUAUUUUAGCCUUCUUUUUUAUGAAUUAUCUUGCAUAACUUUUUCAUGUUUUCAAAGAAUCACCUUUCUGCUUGAUUGAUGCGAACUUUGAAGUUUUUCCUCUAAAUUCUUAAAUGGAAAAGAGAUUAACAUCAUUAUUUUUCUAACAUAAAUAUAUAAAGCUGACUUUUUCCCCCUAAAAUCCACUUUAGCUACAAUCUGCAAGUUUUGGUACUCACCACCGUCAAUAGCCAUAGUAUUAUAUAUUUUUUAAUUCCUAAUUUAAUUCAUUAACUAUAUCUUUUACCCAUGAGUUAUUCAUAAGUAUAAUGUUCUCUAAAUUUCAAAUGCUAAUGGAUUUUUUUAUUAGAUUCAGCCAUGUGGAACUGCUAACAUUCAAUCUUUUUAUAAGCUAUAAAGUAACAACAUAUAGUUUUCUUUUGUUAGUAAUAUAUAACUUAAUUUCAUUUGGUCAGACAACAUUAGAUUGUGAAUUUUAAACCAAAGGUAACCACAUUCACACUAAAGGUCCUUGUUUCUACCAUUUUGUAUUUUAUUGGGGGUUUUUAAAAUGUUAUAAGUACGUGUGUAACCAGUAAUUUUCAAUAAAAGUCCUCCCCGAA